AUAAGCUAUCUUUCCACAUUCAACCAGCCAACAGGGAAGAGAGAGAGGUGGAACAAAAUGAAUUCGAUCGCAAAUCGAGCCCUCAAAUCCAAAUCCACCAACUUCGCGCUCUCUCGAUUCACCCAAUUUCUGUCUACGAUUGCGGCUCCGCCAUCUCCGCCGCAAUCCGAUUUCCAAAAAUACCCACACACCCUCGAUGGCCUGCGCCGCAGGCUCGAUGACGAAUCGCCAUCUCUGGGCGACUUCAUCAAGCUUCAAUCCGACAACAGCUACUCGGUUGAGGUAGGCACGAAGAAGAAGCCGUUGCCAAAGCCUAAAUGGAUGAAGGAAUCGAUUCCCGGCGGUGACAAGUACACGCACAUUAAGAAGAAGUUGAGGGAAUUGAAAUUGCACACUGUUUGUGAGGAGGCCAAGUGCCCUAAUUUGGGCGAAUGCUGGUCUGGGGGCGAAACGGGGACGGCUACUGCCACGAUUAUGAUUCUCGGCGAUACUUGUACUCGUGGAUGCAGGUUUUGCAAUGUAAAGACAUCGCGCACUCCGCCUCCUCCUGACCCUAAUGAACCCCAAAAUGUGGCCGAGGCAAUAGCUUCGUGGGGUUUGGAAUAUGUGGUGAUUACUAGUGUUGACCGGGAUGAUUUGCCUGAUCAAGGAAGUGGCCAUUUUGCAGAGACAGUGCAAAAGUUGAAGAUUCUGAAGCCAUCAAUGCUUAUAGAAGCCUUGGUUCCUGAUUUCCGGGGAGACACAGGCUGUGUAGAGAAAGUCGCCACAUCAGGAUUGGAUGUAUUUGCUCACAACAUUGAAACUGUGGAGGAGAUCCAGAGUGCAGUUCGUGAUCACCGUGCGAACUUUAAGCAAUCUCUCGAUGUUCUGGUGAAGGCAAAACAGUAUGCUCCACCGGGUACUCUCACAAAAACUUCUGUAAUGUUAGGGUGCGGAGAAACACCCAACCAAGUAUUGACAACCAUGGAGAAAGUGAGGGCAGCUGGCGUCGAUGUCAUGACAUUUGGUCAGUACAUGAGACCAUCGAAGCGGCACAUGCCAGUAUCGGAGUACAUAACACCUGAUGCUUUUGAGAAGUAUCGACUCCUGGGCAUGGAAAUGGGAUUCCGAUACGUGGCAUCUGGCCCCAUGGUUAGGUCCUCAUACAAGGCCGGAGAAUUCUACAUCAAAUCCAUGAUAGAAUCUGAUCGAGCAGCUUCUUCCUAAUGCUGCUGGGACAUCUCUGAUGAUUGUUCUUGACCAGACUCACGCCUCAGUUUCAAGACUUGAUAAGUUUUUACUGUUUCGGGAAAGAUCUUAAGGGCCUUGACGCUUCCUCUAAUCCUGGAACAAGUCCAAGUUUGGCUGCUUUUUCUUGUAGCUUUCCCUCUCUAGACCGAAAUGGGCUGCUGUCUCAGCGCCGGAAACCAUAAUCAAGAGAUGGACAACCGCCGGUCCAUCAAUGGAGAGCCUCAGCCGCCUGUGUCUCCCCACAGAAUUCUCCAAGUAGAAACUGUUAAAGAGGUAUUGUUAGAGGCUACCGUUGCUCCUAAACCCCGACCCGAGAAGUUCAAACCAAUGUUGCAAGAAUGGAAGACAGAGGUCCGGAAGCCGCCUAGGAUCGCCGGAAAAGAUGGUUGCGAGAACACGGAGUGUGGCAAGAGUUUGUCGACCGUGGCGGCUAUAAAGCGGAGUGCAGCCAUCGUUGAUCAGCGGCCGCCACUGAGGAAACAGAGGGCGAACGGCGAGGGGAGGGCGGCUGCCAGGAGAUCAGUGGCGGUACCCCAGCCGGAGAAGAGGGGUCAGGUGGCUUUGAUGAGGCGGGUGAGAGGAGAGGAGGUGGCGCCGCCCCGGAAGGAGUGUGAUCGGAAGAGUCCGGCGGCAGGGGAAGCUGAGACGCUUGAAAAUCCUUUUGUUUCGUUAGAAUGCUUUAUAUUUUUAUGAGGGAGUUUUUCUAUUAAUCAUUUUUAUGCAUAAAAUUUGUUAGAAGAAUGAUAAUUCUAUAUACCAUAUGUGAGCAUUACGUUCGUUUAAUAUAUGCUUAGCAUUGUUCGUUU